ACUACGUAGUCUUGUAACGGAUGUGUGUCACUCAGAGUAUAAAUUGAGCUGUUGUAGAAUGUAGAUUUCAUUAUAAAUCUCUUAAUAUGUGAAUUUCAAACAUUAAAGAAUGGUAGAGAUUGAGUCCGACAAUAGCAUCUAGAUCUAUAGUCUAAUGGUGCCCCUAUUUACUUUCCUGAUAGUUUUUGGUGGACCAGUUGAUAUCCAGGCUCACUGUGACUCAAUCUUCAGAUGUCCAGUGAUACAAUAGUUGAAUAGUCACGAUGAUAACAAUUUUACCCAAGUUGGAAACUUUGGGAGAAAGCAGAUGACUAUUCAUUGCACUUUAUUAAUGGAGCCCAGCCACUGGUAGACGUGUAAAUUCUCUUGACUGCGAUCUUGGAAUUAGUUUCUGUCUACUGAUGAGAGGACCAGACUGGUAGAGAACAUUGUAGGCCACCUGAUGGAAGCCCAAGAUUUCAUUCAAAAGAGACCAGUCCAAAACUUUUCUAAGGUUGACGCUGAGUUUGGACAGCGGGUCAUGGAUGGACGCAGCCUUGGAAAGCCAGGAAAGGACAAAACUGGUGCCAACUUGUAGAAGACUAGAAAGUUUAAGAAGUCGUCAACUUGACCAACAAAUGAAGGGGAAAAAAUAUGUUUCGUUAUCAUAAUUCUUACCUAUUUGAAAUUUUAUCUGUUGCUACAAAUUUGUGUAACUACAUACUUGUGUUAUGGUGAUUAUAUUGUUAUUUUUGCAUAAAGUGCUUUUGUUUUGUAUUUUGAGAUGUCUAAACAUGUAGUCUGAUUUUCAGGUGUUAAAUAAUAAUUAAGAUUUUUUUCCCUGUCCUAUCAGUAUUCAUGUUUCAGGCUUACCUUAUUUCUUCUUAUUAUCAGUACAUUUGUUUAACUUGAAAGCUCUCAGCAGACAGGGUAUUUCUGUGACUCUCUUUUAUACAUUUGUUGGAUGAGGAUGUGUUUCUGGUGGUGUGAUAUUCCUUUUGGACUGUCAUCACGAAAGUCUGGUGGUGUGGUAUUCCUUUUUGUCCUGCAGUUAAGGCAAGGACGUAACAAUCAUUCUUUUGUGAAUGAGCAUCUGAAAUGUAUAAAAUAAAACUGAUCAUAACAUGGGCAUUAAAAAAAAUUAAUGUUAGGGAGUUAUUCUCAGUUAAUUAAACUAGAUUUUUAAGUACAUUUUUUUUUGUCUAUUAACCUUCCUGGCAAGUUUACUUCUGUUCUUUAUAGGAACAGGAUUUUUCCUGACGACAUUGCUCCAGAAGAUUUGUAUUCAAUGAAACUGAUUGAUUCUACUAUUUUUCUUCUUUCUUUUAUCUAAAGCUUUGUUUUAAAUUGCUUUUGAAUUAAGUCCUAGAGAUAUCACAAAUAUAGUUUUUUUAGUGUUUGGUUUAUGUUUAAGGUUUUUUUAAACCUGACGGAUGAUAUGAUGAUGUCAUGUGAAGGGAGCCAGUGGUCUAAAGUUUUGGCUAUGGGUGCAUGCAUGAAUCUCAAUGGGUUGUAGUCUCAGCCAUGAUGGCUUAUAUUUGACUUAAAAUAAAACCCUUACAGUAUCAUGUACUGGUGCUAACAAGCUUGUAAUGUGCUAGAUUUGGAUGUGUUACUCUUACACAUGUGUAUUUGAACAGUGAUGUUACCAAGUACAUAUCCAGUGGUGAGUGAUAAAGAAUUUAUAUCAACAUAUAAGAUACUUAGAACUUUUGUUGGAAAUAAAAUCAUCUCUGUUAAUAAUGUAA